rnacentral:lncRNA from 1 species
AAUAAUAAUAAUAAUAAUAAAAAUACAGGCCAGGCACGGUGGCUCACACCUGUAAUCCCAGCACUUUGGGAGGCCGAGGCGGGUGGAUCACCUGAGGUCAUGAGUUUGAGACCAGCCUGACAAACAUGGUAAAACCCUGUCUUCACUAAAAAUACAAAAAAUUAGCCCAGCCUGGUGGCAGGUGCCUGUAAUCCCAGCAACUCGGGAGGCUGAGGCAGGAGAAUCACUUGAACCCAGGAGGCAGAGGUUGCAGUGAGCCAAGAUGGCGCCAUUUCACUCCAGCCUGAGCAACAGAGAGAGACUUGGCCUCAAAAAAAAUAAAUACAAAUACAAAUACAAACAAAGGAACUCAGAGGCCGGGGAUGGUGGCUCACGCCUGCAAUCCCAGCACUUUGGGAGGCCAAAGCAGGUGGAUCACGAGGUCAGGAGUUCAAGACUAGCCUGGCCAACGUGGUGAAACCCCUAUCUCUACUAAAAAUUACAAAAAUUCGCUGGGCGUGGUGGCGGGCGCCUGUAAUCCCAGCUACUUGAGAGGCUGAGGCAGGAGAAUCACUUGAACCUGGGAGGUGGAGGCUGUAGCGAGCGGAGAUCACACCACUGUACUCUAGACUAGGUGACAGAGCAAGACUUCGUCUCAAAAAAACAAAACAAAACAAAAAAACCCAAAGGAACUCAGAAGUCUACACAAAACUUGAAAAUUCACGAGAAAGUUCAUCACAGCAUUAAUUCUAAAAGCUGCAAGUGGCCGGACGCGGGAGCUCAUGCCUGUAAUCCCAGCCCUUUGGGAGGCCGAGUCAGGUGGAUCACAGGGUCAGGAGAUAGAGACCAUCCUGGCUAACACGGUGAAACCCCGUCUCUACUAAAAAAAUACAAAAAAUCAGGCAGGCGUGGUGGCAGGAACCUGUAGUCCCAGCUACUCAGGAGGCUGAGGCAGGAGAGUGGCAUGAAUCCGGGAGGCGGAGCUUGCAGUGAGCCUAGAUUGAGCCACUGCACUCCAGCCUGGGCGACAGAGCAAGACUCCCUCUCAAAAAAAAAAAAAAAAAAAAAA